UACGAAGGGGACUAGCGUUGUUCGGAAUCACUGGGCGUAAAGCGCGCGUAGGCGGCUUUGCAAGUCGGGUGUGAAAUCCCCAGGCUUAACCUGGGAACUGCAUUCGAGACUGCAUUGCUAGAGUAUGGGAGAGGGAAGUGGAAUUUCCGGUGUAGCGGUGAAAUGCGUAGAUAUCGGAAGGAACAUCAGUGGCGAAAGCGGCUUCCUGGACCAGUACCGACGUUCAGGCACGAAAGCGUGGGGAGCAAACAGG
rnacentral:rRNA from 1 species